rnacentral:lncRNA from 1 species
UCUCUCCCUUGCUCUACCAGUCUGAGGACCAUCCAUGCUGCCCCCAGAGCCUUGACAGCUCCUGAACAGAUUCCAGGCAAGAGAAACUGAAAGGAUCUCCUUUUAGCCCCUACUUUUGACUAGGGCCUUCUGCAUCACUUGCUGAGGUCAGUAGGUAAAAUGGGAGGGUUAGGGCAUAGAGGAAUGGUGCACACAGACCAGAGAGCUCUUUGCACCCUAGAAUUAGGGAGAGGAUAUGAGUUUUGCAUGGAGGUGUCCAUAGACUGGAGGAAUAAGUCUGAAAGGCUGACAGAUUGUUUCAAGAAGUGUCAAGCAAGCCAUGCAAGAAGGGAGGUGACUGGAUCUCAGGAAGUGGAGUGUGGAACCUUGCCCUGCCCUUGUGGGAUCUCCUGGGUGAGAAGUCAUGGUGGAUGGAAAGGAGUUGAACAGGGAAGCCCAGGGUGGCAGCAAUUAGGAUAGGGGAACUGAUGGGUGGUUGGACAGCUAUGAAGCUGUUCUUCUCAUCUGCCUGCCUCUGCUCUUGACUUCCCAGGUUUGGGAUGAGGGGAGAGGCCGUGAUUAGAAAGAAGGGGAUAUGGAAGCAGAGCUACCCCAGGCACUAGAAGACUAGAUGGAGGGCAGAAAAUGAGAAAGUGGUACAGAACAGAGACCUGGAGACAUUCGGGGGACAGGGAGCAGUUUAUGUUGAACUGGAAAUCUGGAAACAGGCCUCUCUGGUCUCGAAGUUCCCGGUAUUGGGGGCGCGGGAGCGGCAGCCGAGCAGGCUGGGUGGGGGGCGGGCAGCUGUGUCGUCAGGAGUUGGGGCGGCCCCGAGGCCGCUGCGUCUGCUUGGCCCGUCCUCUCCAGCCCAGCUCCAGCUCCAGCUCCUCCAGCGCCAGCGCCAGCGCUUCAGCUCCGACCGCUCGCGCUCCUCGGGCAAGGUAGAGACCCCGCCCUUCCACGCUCUCCCACUGGAGUAGGAGGCCGGCCUCCAAAGGGGUCGCCUCGCGGGCUGGGUUGGGGCUGCGAGGCAGCGAAGGAGGAAGCGUAACAGCUGGAGUGGGUGGCUAGGGUGGUUUGCGCUGGGACGCCGCGGGCAGGGGGAGGGUUGGGCCAGAACCGCGUAGGCAGCCUCUCCACAGACAUUUUCUUCCAUCCUUCCUGGUCACUCGGAAGGAUGAUGAAGCUCUGCUUCUUGGGGACCCGACUCCCAAGGAAGUCCCUUUUGGAAUCUCCACAGUGCCGCACAGGUGGAGAAGGGUUCUUAUUUGUCCUCCUGGUCCCCAACUUCCUGUCCUCAUCCUUUACACACCUGUCACCAGCUAGUUUCUAAAAAUCCCUGAUUCUGAAUCCCACUUUUCAGCUUCAAGUAAAAGAAAUGAGUCUUCUCGCGGAAGAAAUGCAAAUAGUGUUAGACAUCUCUUCAGCCUCAGAACAUACAUGGCCACAUCCCCACAACCAUGCCAAUAUCGUAACUUCCUCCAGUACUACGCAAUGAUACCCUCCACAUGUACCACCCCCUUAACCAGACAACACUAUCGUCUGCGAUGUUUGUGGAGGUUUAAUUAAUUUUGAGGCUUCGGGCCAAAUAAUUCUCUCUCGGGGACCACUGACUUACAGAAGCAGGAAUGAACAGGGAAUAAUAAACCUUUUUUCAGUCUUGGGAGAGGAAGAGGAUACAGUCCCUGAUAGAGUUAAGGGAUUCAGAGGCCCAGGUAAUCAGGCCUGAGCCCUCAAACUAGGAGUGCCUGCCCCUUGGGGAUUCUUGCUGGGACAGCCUGAAUGUCCUGGGGACAUAGCUAAUUCUUGAGUAAUGAUCAGCUUAUGACCUGGAAUGUGAAAAUUUAAAUGUUAGCACUGGCUUUAGCAAUGAUAUUUAUCUCUUGGUUAACACCAAUUUUAGUGUUUGAUGUUUAAAAUUAGAUCUAGGGAAUGAGAGAUACUAAGAUUUAGUGGGAUGGAGUAAGGACAGCACAUCUAGAGUCUAAGACUCUGACAGUCAUUUUCUCUAAGUCUUACUUUCCUCCAUUCUCUUCGUUUGAUUGUUUGUUAGAGAUGGGGUGGAGGGUGUUUCAGUAUGUUGCCCAGGUUGGGCUUGAAUUCUGGAUCCUCCUGGCCAGCCUCCUGAGAACCUGGAUAUAAAGGCAUGUGCCACUGAGCCCUGUUGUUCAGUUUCCUCCUUUGUAAAAUAUGAGAAUUGGCAACUCCCAGCUGAGAAUGUUGUAGCAUUCUUCACCUUUAAAUCAACAUAUUCCUUUUGCCCCAAGUUGGAAGAGGUGGGUAGGGAAACCAGAAGAGAGAAGGGUAGAGUGAGUCACAAAUAGCUGGCAGGCAGGCAGCAGACCCCACCCUUCUAGCCCUGGCAUUCGCCUGGACUAGCCCAGGUUAUAGCCUCAGGGUUGGGAUGGAGCUAGAGGACAAAAUUGAACUUGUUCCAGAUCUUUAAGGGCCCAGGAUCCUGCAGCUUGCUGUCCUUCACCCCCAGAGGCAUCCAAACUUUCAAUGAAAGAAGUCAAAAAGAAGAUUAAACAGAUCCAGGAGUCCUUAUGUCCAAGAGCUCAACCCAGGGAUGUCCUUGGACUCUUUUUUUUUUUUUAAAGGAUUUCCCCAUCUUUUUUUUUUUUUUUUUUGAGAGAGAUAGAUUUUAAUAUUUAUUUUUUAGUUUUCGGCAUCUUUGUUUGUAUGUGGUGCUGAGGAUCGAACCCAGGCCGCACACAUGCCAGGCGAGCGCACUGCCGCUUGAGCCACAUCCCCAGCCUCUGUCCUUGGACUCUUAACAGUCUAGUUUCUAAAAAUUCCAGAGCAAAGUAUAGGAUUCUGACAUUACUAUAUGUCGGUACCUGAUAUAUAAAAAGGGGUGGAAGGUAUACACCCGAGCUUCACUGCUGCUUGAAGUCCCUAGAACUUGUGCCUUUCUGGUUCAGUGGCAUAAUUUUUCAUAAUGUCCACAUAUCCUUCUCUAGGUAGAAUAAUAGCUAAUGUUUAUUGAAUUCUUUGUGACACACAGUUUAUUAUAUACAUUGCUUAUACAAUCUUAUUUAAUCUCCACUCUGUGACAGAUUUCUCUAGGUACCCAUUUUACUGAUGAAAACUGAGGUUGGGCUGGAGGCAUAGCUCAGUGGCAGUAUGCUUACUCAGCAUUCAUGAGGCACUUAUGCAUACAUAUACAACACUGAGAUUCAAGGAAAUGAAAUGACUCAUCCACAAGCUAGGAUUUUAACCUAUGCCUAAUUUGAAAGUCCAUCCCUGCCCCCUUUGUGGUAGGAGGGAUUGAAUUCAGACCUUUGCUAUGUUAGGCAAGUGCUCUACCACUGAGAUACAUUCCCAACCUUUUUUAAAUUUUUGAGACAGUUUUCACUAAGUUGCCCAGGCUGGCCUCAAACUUGGGAUUCUUCUGCCUUGGUUUCCCAAAGUGCUGGGAUUACAGGUUUAUACCACAAACCUGUCCCAAAGUCCGUUUUCUUAGUUAACUAGUAACUAGUGGUUACUAAUAUAUAGUAAUUGCUACAUACUACUUCUCCAGGUUUAAGGCCUGGAGAGCUAGGAAGAGGCAAAAACAAGUUGAGUCAUUGUGAAAAGAGAGACAAGGAGAUAAUCUGGAACACAUACAGUAGGUGGUAAAUCAAUAGUUGAUUUAUUUUCCUCUCUUUUAUUUUUCCUUGUGCUGUCAUUUUCUCCCUCAGAUUCUAUUUUUUCCAGAACUUUGGAGUAAUGUAAAAAUCCCCAAGGGGUUAAUCAGAAAGGCUAAUUAAGCAAUGCAGGCCCUAUUGAUACUAAGAUUGUUAUAUAUUCAUUAGAUCUGUUGGCAGCAGAAGUUGAAUUAUAGUAAUUGGUAAAGGCCAAAUGGGUAGUCUUUUCUCCAGGAUGUCAGUGUCCCAGGACCCUCUUCCAAGUGUUCCCAGAAAGCCCUGGAACAGGAAUGUUGUACUGCAUAGAGGUGGACAGCAGAGAUGUCCCAAGGGCAGAAGUUGCAGAGAAGGUUCUUGCGCCAUCAGAAAGGAAGGGGGCGGAACUAUUGUAGGCCCUAAAGGCCUCCCUGCUUUGCCUGAUCUCAUAAGCCCCAAAGGAGUAAAUGGAGGUCAAAAUGUUUGAUGAAGUAACUCAAUAAAUGCUUUAUAGAAUCAUUUACUCUUUUACCAACUAUUGAUUUACCAUCUACUGUAUGUGUUCCAAAUUAUCUCAUCCUUUCCUUACUGUUAAGUAGACACUGCUAUCCAUUUAAUCAUACUGAUUAACAGUUCCAAAAUAAGACUCCCCUGCUUUAUACAAUCAUUCGUAUAACCUAUAUUGAGCACUCACUAUAUGCUGGACGUUCUUUUAGGUACUUGGACUAUAUUGGCAAACAAGACUGACAAGUUCCUGCCCUUAUGGAACUCACAUUUUUUUAAAAUAAUUAUUUUAUUACAUUUAUUUGUAUGUGAUGCUAAGGAUCGAACCCAGUGCCUAACACAUGCUAGGCAAGCACUCUACCACUGAGCUCCAGACUCAGCCAUGGAACUCACAUUUGAUAGAAGAGAACAGUAAAUAAAAAGCAAAUUUCCAGUUACUUUGGAUGCCAAGGUAGGAGGAUCACAAGUUUAAGGCCAGCCUGGGCAAUUUAGUGAAGCCCUGUCUCAAAAUAAAAUAAAAAUAAGGACUGGGGAUGUGGCUUAGUGGUGGGGUGCUUGCCUGGCAUGCACCACAAUCCUCAUCACCACAAAAAAUAAAAUAAAAUAAAAAUAAGGGUUGUUGAUGUAACUCAGAAGCAGAAUUAUCCAGGAUUCAAUCCCAUAACUCCCCUUCCCCCACUGCCUGGGACACACACACAAAGAAACAAAUAAAUAGGGAAGAUAAUUUCUACUUGUGAUAAAUUCUAUGAAGGAAACAAAGAAGAAAUACCAUUUUAAGAUGGAACAGUCAAGGAAGCUCUCUUGGAGGAGCUGAUAUUCAGUUGAGGCAAGAAGUUGGCUUUGCCAGGUGUGGGGAGGAGGAUGCAGUGCUGCACAACUAUAAUCCCAGUGACUCUGGAGGAUGAGACAGGAGGAUUGCAAGUUUGAGAUCAGCCUCAGCAACUUAAGUGAGGUCUUAAGCAACUUAGUGAGAACCUGUCUCAAAAUAAAAAGUAAAAAGGGCUGGAGACAUGGCUCAGAGGUAAAGUGCCUCGAGGUCCAAUCCCCAAUAUCCAAAAUAAAUAAUAAAAACUUAACUUUUAAUAUAAUAACUACCAUUUUUAUAGGCUUCCUGUAUGCAAGGCAUUAUACUAGGCAUUUUUCAUAUAUUAUAUUAUUUAAUAUAAUUGUGAAAGCUAGGUAUCAUUCUCCCCACUUUACAGAUUUAACUUGCCCGAGACACACAGAGCUAUCAGAGCUAAGAAUUGGAACCAAAUAGAACUGACUUUUAGUUCUGUUUGACUCUAAAAUCGUGCUGUACUAUUUACUAUUGUAAUAUGUAAUAACGUACUUUUUGUUUUCUUCUGGUACUGGGGCUUGAACCCUGGGGCGUUUAACAACUGAGCCAUAUCCCCAGACUUUUUAUUUUAUUUUUUUAUUUUGAGACAGCAUCUCAAUAAGUUGCUUAGGGCCUCGCUAAAUUGCUGAGGCUGACUUUGAACUCCAGACCCUCCCGCUUCAGCGAUCCUCCAGCCUUAAACCGCCCCCACCCCCAAGUCGCUGGGAUUACAGGCGUGCACCACCACGUUCAGCCGUAACAUGUAAUUAUUGUAUUGCUGUUUUUGAACCAUCAAGGCAAGUCGCCUUCUGCAACUUGGUCCCUGUUUGGGGGGAUGGAGUGUGAGGAUCAGCAAUAUCCACGUGAGAGCUCCUCCUUGUUUCCUGGGUCCAAUAGCAGAAAGUUGGGGUUCCCUAAACCUAGGGUUCCUCCUAGGUUCCUUAAACUUAGGAGGGUGGAAGGAAGACCCUGGCAUCCAAGACUCCAGCACGCAGCUCCAUGGUGCGGCGCCUGGGAAAUGAGGCUGGUGUACAGAGCAUUCUACCACUACCUCCUCCCAGCCCCGCGCGCCUGGGUCCCCACCCUUUCCCAGUGGAGCUCCACGGCGAGGCGGGGCCAGAGCUAGGGACCCAGCCAGAGCCUGCGCUGGUUCUGUGUCGCGCGUCAGAAGCGCUAGAGGUCGUUGCGGGGCGAAGUGGAAGUGGGUAGCUGAGCGCCCUGGGGACCCCGGCUAGAGGCGGAGCAAGAUGGGGUCCUGGCCUGGGAGGCGUGCUAGCUUAGUAAGAACCACCCGGAGGGCUGGCGGGGACUGCAGACCUGAGAUGGAAGAGAAGUCGGGCUAUGAAGAGACAACAGAGACUGGGGGUGGCGUGAGACACAGAAACAGGCCAGAGAUAUAUUCAUAUAAACAUAUAUAGACUUGGAAAGGAGGGGUGGAAGGUGGGGAGGUGAUGAGGGUCAGGUGAAUCAAGAUGGAUUUGGGGAGAAGUCAGAGUGGGAAAAGAUCCAGAAAUGAAGGAGAUAAAGUUAAGAAAUGAGUCAGAGAAACAGAGAUAGAGGACAGGCUCUGUAAGGGAAAAUAGAGAGGGGGAGGUUUAGGGAGGGACACAGAGAAGGAAAGCACAGAAAUCACAGUGGGAGUAAAGACUGAAUGGAUCAGAGAGAAACAAAGAAAUCCAGACAGCUGGCUCUUCUCCAUGUAGCUCUUGUCAUCUUCCUUCAGGCCUACCCUCUGAAGAGGACAAACCGCAAGAAGUACUACUACGAAGCUAUCUUUCUGGCCAUCAUUCAGAAAAACAGAAAGAUGGCCAAGGAAAGGGGACUAUUAAGCCCUGAAGACUUUGCCCAGCUGCAAAAAUACAUGGAAUGUGAGCCUUCCUCCCAGCUCUUCAGUUCUUGGAGACUACCCAAAGAAUCCCUCUUUAUUCCUAUUAUAUUUUCCCCAUCACGCCCCAGUUUCCCCAGUGGCUUUAAGCCAGUCUGUCAGAUGGACCCAUGACUGUGUAAGGGAGAAAAACAGAUAAGGAGAUGCCUGGGGUCUCAGCUCUCUACCCACCUUCUGUAUACUUUGACUGCUUUCUGCAAGCCCCAGAAAAGAAAAGAGUGGUACCAUGUUAGAGGAUCUGAAAUGUUUUUCCCUUUGUAUUUCUGUGUUUCUCCUUAGAAUUCUUCCUUCAUCUCAUUCAAAUCUUUUUUUUCCCAUUGGAUGUCUGAGUGGGACUCUGGCAGAAGGCCAGAAGAGCCAAGAUGCCAAGAUGGACUAAUAUUCUUUUCUUACUCUCUUCACACCUAGACUCCAACCAAAAGGUCAGUGAUGUCCUAAAACUCUUCGAGAACGAGAAGAUGGCCAAAUAUCUCCAAGGAGAUGUGAGUGGCAGCUGGAAAUUCUGCUCCUUAAUCAACUUCUUCUUCUUCUUUUUUUUUUUUUUUUUGCCACUCCAUUGGAAUCCCCACUUCAGGGAUUAUUCUUGUCAGCUCGCCUCUAAAUGCCCCAUUGUCCAUUGUCAUUGCAGCUUUUGCUUUAAGACAAAAUAAGAGAUCCUUUGGAUUUGGCUUGCCAAGAAGCAUAUUACUGUUUCAAAUGCUUCUCAGCUUUGCACUUACUGUAUCUGGGCCCACUAUUCCUAGUUCUUCAGUCCCCAACUCCUACCCUGCAAACUCCCAGAGUAAUGCUCACUUCCAUCACAGGCCAUUGGCUAUGAGGGAUUUGAGCAAUUCCUGAAAAUCUAUUUGGAAGUGGAUAAUGUUCCCCAUCACCUAAGCCUGGCACUGUUUCAUUCCUUCCACACUGAUCACUGCUUAAAAGAGAAUGUAAGGAAAG